CACGUAGGGCGCAAGCGUUGUCCGGAAUUAUUGGGCGUAAAGAGCUCGUAGGCGGUCUGUUGCGUCCGCUGUGAAAACUCGGGGCUUAACCCCGAGCCUGCAGUGGAUACGGGCAGACUAGAGGUAGGUAGGGGAGAAUGGAAUUCCCGGUGUAGCGGUGAAAUGCGCAGAUAUCUGGAGGAACACCGGUGGCGAAGGCGGCAUCCUGGACCAAUACUGACACUGAGGAGCGAAAGCCAGGGGAGCAAACGGG
rnacentral:rRNA from 1 species